rnacentral:rRNA from 1 species
AUUGAACGCUGGCGGCAGGCUUAACACAUGCAAGUCGAGCGGGGUGAUGGUGCUUGCACUAUCACUUAGCGGCGGACGGGUGAGUAAUGCUUAGGAAUCUGCCUAUUAGUGGGGGACAACAUCUCGAAAGGGAUGCUAAUACCGCAUACGUCCUACGGGAGAAAGCAGGGGAUCACUUGUGACCUUGCGCUAAUAGAUGAGCCUAAGUCGGAUUAGCUAGUUGGUGGGGUAAAGGCCUACCAAGGCGACGAUCUGUAGCGGGUCUGAGAGGAUGAUCCGCCACACUGGGACUGGGACGCGGCCCAGACUCCUACGGGAGGCAGCAGUGGGGAAUAUUGGACAAUGGGGGGAACCCUGAUCCAGCCAUGCCGCGUGUGUGAAGAAGGCCUUAUGGUUGUAAAGCACUUUAAGCGAGGAGGAGGCUCUUUUGGUUAAUACCCAAGAUGAGUGGACGUUACUCGCAGAAUAAGCACCGGCUAACUCUGUGCCAGCCGCCGCGGUAA